CAGAAGCCAGUCCUUGGUGCGGCCCGCUGAAAAAUUGGAAUGUUGCAUGCCAGGUCCAAUGCUUUUCCUCCCCUAGGAUAAGCUGUGAAAAGAGGUUUCUUCCCAAUCAUGUGGCACUGUACUGAGGGACAGGCUGUGAGAGAAAACUCUUGAGUUCUCCCUGAAAGGAGACUAAAGAACAAUCCUCUGCAGAUGUGUCUGAAUCCUAAAAUGAACUUAAGUCAAGCAUGAUCCCUAAGGCUGCUCAGGGAGAGAGAACCUAGAAACCUGGCAUGCUGGCAAAAGGAGACCAUCAAGCUUCAGAUGAUCAUGCAACAAAAGUCCCAGCUAGUUCCAGGUGAAGACAACACACCUGGCCUUCAAAAAGCUACUCUGCCUCCACUAGAGAGAACAGGGCGAGAGUUCCAUGAUCCCCAGUAGGUAAGGACUACACCCCAAGCCAGCAUGA
rnacentral:lncRNA from 1 species